rnacentral:tRNA from 1 species
AGUAAGGUCAGCUAAUUCUAAGCUUUUGGGCUCAUGCCCCAACCAUGUUGGUUCAAAUCCUCCCCUUACUA